rnacentral:snRNA from 1 species
UCACUUUGACAGUGCAUAUACUAAAAUUGGAGCAACACAGAGAAGAUUCAAAUGGCCCCUGUGCAAGGAUGACCUGCAAAUUCGUGAAGCAUUCCAUAUUUAA